CCCUUAGAUGGUCUGGGCCGCACGCGCGCUACACUGACGAAUGCAACGAGCUUAUAACCUUGGCCGAAAGGUCUGGGUAAUCUCCAAAUUUCGUCGUGAUGGGGAUAGAUUAUUGCAAUUAUUAAUCUUCAACGAGGAAUGCCUAGUAAGCGCAAGUCAUCAGCUUGCGUUGAUUACGUCCCUGCCCUUUGUACACACCGCCCGUCGCUCCUACCGAUUGAAUGGUCCGGUGAAGCGUUCGGACCGUGGCCUUUGGACGGUUCGCCGUCUGUUGGCUGCGGGAAGUUCGUUAAACCUUNUNAUUUAANGGAAGGAGAANUCGUANCA
rnacentral:rRNA from 1 species